rnacentral:lncRNA from 1 species
CACUAUCCUAUUACAACAUACAUUCAUGCAUAACUGUCCUCUGUACUCUUGCUGACUUGACUUCUCCUAGCUAUCUUAGAACCUGCAAAACUGGGGCAAGGGAGUGGGAUGAGCUCUAGAGCCCAGUGAGGAGGAACAAUAAAAACAGUUCAUUCAUUACAUGCUCUCAUGAAAUGCAUCACAUCACAAACAUAUCAUCUCAAGGAUGAACUUGUCACCAUAGCCCUCUACAUACAUAAUAGUAUGUCCAACUGUGCCAGGGGCGAUUAGGCCUCACCUGGACUACUCUGAAGUAACUCAUAUCAUAACAUGUCCAACUGUGCCAGGGGCGAUUAGGCCUCACCUGGACUGCUCUGAGCUCUGAUCUGACAGCCCAGCUGUCUCACUCAUAGUACCAGGAGCGACCUGGACUAACCAGGGGCGACCUGGUAUGGCUAUCUCAUGC